rnacentral:rRNA from 1 species
CCUACGGGAGGCAGCAGUGAGGAAUAUUGGUCAAUGGGCGAGAGCCUGAACCAGCCAAGUCGCGUGAAGGAUGACGGCCCUACGGGUUGUAAACUUCUUUUGUCAGGGAGCAAUUGGGUCCACGCGUGGGCUUAGCGAGAGUACCUGAAGAAAAAGCAUCGGCUAACUCCGUGCCAGCAGCCGCGGUAAUACGGAGGAUGCGAGCGUUAUCCGGAUUUAUUGGGUGUAAAGGGUGCGUAGGCGGAAUAUCAAGUCAGCGGUAAAAAUUCGGGGCUCAACCCCGUCGUGCCGUUGAAACUGAUGUUCUUGAGUGGGUGAGAAGUAUGCGGAAUGCGUGGUGUAGCGGUGAAAUGCAUAGAUAUCACGCAGAACUCCGAUUGCGAAGGCAGCAUACCGGCGCCCGACUGACGCUGAGGCACGAAAGCGUGGGGAUCGAACAGGAUUAGAUACCCGAGUAGUC